GACGAACGCUGGCGGCGUGCCUAAUACAUGCAAGUUGAGCGCUGAAGGUUGGUACUUGUACCAACUGGAUGAGCAGCGAACGGGUGAGUAACGCGUGGGGAAUCUGCCUUUGAGCGGGGGACAACAUUUGGAAACGAAUGCUAAUACCGCAUAAAAACUUUAAACACAAGUUUUAAGUUUGAAAGAUGCAAUUGCAUCACUCAAAGAUGAUCCCGCGUUGUAUUAGCUAGUUGGUGAGGUAAAGGCUCACCAAGGCGAUGAUACAUAGCCGACCUGAGAGGGUGAUAGGCCACAUUGGGACUGAGACACGGCCCAAACUACUACGGGAGGCAGCAGUAGGGAAUCUUCGGCAAUAGACGAAAGUCUGACCGAGCAACGCCGCGUGAGUGAAGAAGGUUUUCGGAUCGUAAAACUCUGUUGGUAGAGAAGAACGUUGGUGAGAGUGGAAAGCUCAUCAAGUGACGGUAACUACCCAGAAAGGGACGGCUAACUACGUG
rnacentral:rRNA from 1 species